CCCAGCGGUAGUCAGCUGUCCAGGCGGCUCCCCGUGCCUGUGCCGGUGUUACACUGCUGGGAGAGGAAGGCGCGGCCCGGUAGCCUGGCUGUGGGAGACACUGUUUUAGUGGCUGCUGAAGCCGGGCUGUGGCCGUGCUUUGCACCCUCUGAGAGUGGACUGAACCAGCUCCCCUGGAGUAGCCCUAGUCUGGGUGCACACAGA